CGAUGAAGAACGCAGCGAAAUGCGAUACGUUAUGUGAAUUGCAGAAUUCCGCGAAUCAUCGAGUCUUUGAACGCAACUUGCGCCCGAGGCUUGUCCGAGGGCAUUUCCGCUAGAGCGUCACC
rnacentral:rRNA from 1 species